UACGUAGGGGGCAAGCGUUGUCCGGAUUUAUUGGGCGUAAAGAGCGUGUAGGCGGCUAGGUAGGUCCGUUGUGAAAACUCGAGGCUCAACCUCGAGACGCCGGUGGAAACCAUCUAGCUAGAGUCCGGAAGAGGAGAGUGGAAUUCCUGGUGUAGCGGUGAAAUGCGCAGAUAUCAGGUGGAACACCGAUGGCGAAGGCAGUGAUCUGGGCCAGUACUGACGCUGAGGAGCGAAAGCGUGGGGAGCAAACAGG
rnacentral:rRNA from 1 species